rnacentral:rRNA from 1 species
UACGUAGGGUGCAAGCGUUGUCCGGAAUUAUUGGGCGUAAAGAGCUCGUAGGCGGCUGUUCAAGUCGAACGUGAAAACUCGGAGCUCAACUCCGAGCCUGCGUUCGAUACUGGACGGCUAGAGUCUGGUAGGGGGAUCUGGAAUUCCUGGUGUAGCGGUGGAAUGCGCAGAUAUCAGGAAGAACACCAACGGCGAAGGCAGCUCGCUGGGACGGUACUGACGCUGAGGUGCGAAAGCGUGGGGAGCAAACAGG